GAGGUUGUAGCUCAGUGGUAGAGCUCCUGCCUAGAUGUGUGAGGCCCUGGGUUCAAUCCUCAGCACCACA
rnacentral:tRNA from 1 species